rnacentral:rRNA from 1 species
GGUAGUGAAUUAGCGGCGAACCGUUGAGGAACACGUGAGGAAUCUGCCUUCAACACUGGGAUAACUCCGGGAAACCGGGGCUAAUACCGGAUACGAGCCUUGAUCGCAUGAUCGAGGCUGGAAAGUUUUUCGGUUGAAGAUGACCUCGCGGCCUAUCAGCUUGUUGGUGAGGUAAUGGCUCACCAAGGCGACGACGGGUAGCCGGCCUGAGAGGGCGACCGGCCACACUGGGACUGAGACACGGCCCAGACUCCUACGGGAGGCAGCAGUGGGGAAUAUUGGGCAAUGGAGGAAACUCUGACCCAGCGACGCCGCGUGCGGGAUGAAGGCCUUCGGGUUGUAAACCGCUUUCAGUAGGGAAGAAGCGAAAGUGACGGUACCUACAGAAGAAGCACCGGCUAACUAUGUGCCAGCAGCCGCGGUAAUACAUAGGGUGCAAGCGUUGUCCGGAAUUAUUGGGCGUAAAGAGCUCGUAGGUGGUUUGAUACGUCGGGUGUGAAAUUCAGGGGCUCAACCCCUGACCUGCGUUCGAUACGGUCAAGCUAGAGUUUGGUAGGGGAGACUGGAAUUCCUGGUGUAGCGGUGGAAUGCGCAGAUAUCAGGAGGAACACCGAUGGCGAAGGCAGGUCUCUGGGCCAAUACUGACACUGAGGAGCGAAAGCGUGGGGAGCGAACAGGAUUAGAUACCCUGGUAGUCCACGCCGUAAACGGUGGGCGCUAGUUGUGCGAACCUUCCACGGUUUGUGCGACGCAGCUAACGCAUUAAGCGCCCCGCCUGGGGAGUACGAUCGCAAGAUUAAAACUCAAAGGAAUUGACGGGGCCCCGCACAAGCAGCGGAGCAUGCGGCUUAAU